GCUGUGCUGGGUGGUAGAUGGCCGCCCGCCGUCGGCGAGGUGAGCCGUGGAUCAGAAUCGGCGGCGUCAUCUGAUCCAUGGCUCGGGAAGUUCACUUCCCGUGUACUGGUUGUAGGAGCGAGAGUUUUCUCGCCCAGCGCGUGGAUCAUUUGGAAGCCGAGGACUGCAGGAUAGAGGCCAGGAGUGCCGAUGGCCACGGACCAUGGUGUUUCUGAUGCAGACGAUCGGCAGUUUCAGAUCCACUCUGCUUGAGCUAGGGAAGACUUUGUGCCUGCCCCUGUGGUUGUGAAUGGCCCUACGGUGACGGAUUUUGAGGUGGCACAUCAGGCGGAGCGCGAGGCGGCGCAACAUCGGAUGGCGGACAGGGGCAAAGCACAAAUCUUCUCGGCGAAGGAGGCGGCAGCCGACAAAAGGGAGAGCUCGCCGCUGCCGCCAGAGCUGUCAACGAUGAAGGUGAAUCCCCAAGCGCCGGGAUGGAACACGAGGUUGACUGCUCUCUGCAUUUGUAAAAUUGAUGCUAUGUGUAGCUGUUUUGCGGGCUUAGGAUUGGUGCCGCCGCUCCUAGCAGAACACCGUGCCCAAAUCGUAUCAGUGCGUUCGAGAAGGCAGCCAGAUGCUCGCAGAGAACC